rnacentral:rRNA from 1 species
GCUUACGGGCAUACCGCGUUGAAAGCACGCCAUCCAGUCCGAUCUAGCAAGUUAAACAACGUUGGGCCUGGUUAGUACUUGGAUCGGAGACGGCUUGGUAAUCCCAGAUGUCGUAAGCU